CCGAGUCUCUGAGUAAAUGUAUCUCCAACACGCUUUAUCCUCCCUCUGUGCGCCGCGUUCCCGUCCAGGUAUCAACCUCCACAACCAAGAGCGCACAGCGUGGCUCCGCAGAAGGUUCACCAGAUUUGCUCUGAUGUGUGGAUCGAUACCUUGAAGGUGAAUUCAUGCUCCCUCGCCAAAUCGAAGUCCAACACGCGGAGAGUCUCGCUCAGCCGAACCUUUUCAGCGUGUGCGUUUCACUGGCUGGACUGAACCCGGGGAAGGAGCCGUCUCUGCGGACUACCUUGCUCCUUCAGCCAAUCCAAGUGCUCCGGCGAGUGGCGGCGCUGUAUCAAAACCUGGCCCGGACAGCAGCGAGGAAUGGAAGCUGUUUAUUAAAUGCAUGGCGAAUACAAGUUCUGGAUUUAGAAGAAACAGUCAAUCAAAAGUGUGACAUAAGAAGAAAAUGUGGUCUUCCCUAUAACUCUGUCUCAACGAAUAUGAGACGGAGUUGUCUCUGCUUCAAAUUAUCUGCUAUCUGCUUAAAAAAAUAUUUCUCAUAAAUUUUGAAUAUUACAGAAUACCAGUUCUUAAAAGACUUAUAAUGUAAAAAUGUAACCUCACAUGCACCUACUUAAUCACACAUGUAUAAAAUAUUUUGCCUGGACUCCGUUUGCAUGACUUACUAUAUUAGUGUGAAAUAACAUUGAAUUAGUCACCCUGUCACUCUGCUGAGGUGUUAAAAAGCCCAGGUAGCUUUAUUAACACCCUUCAGCUCAUCUGCAGUGUUGAGUCUGUUUUUUUUCCCCUCUUGUCAUAAAUUCAUUAGGAGGGUUUAGGUCAGAAGAGUUUGCUGGCCAAUAAGUCACAGUGCUAUGAUGAUUAUUUUAUGAGCAGGUCUGAACUCCUGCUGGAAAACUAAAUGAGCGUCUCUGUAAGACUUGUCAGCAGAGAGAAGCACAAAAUGCUCUGUAAUUUUCUGGUAGAUGGCUGCGCUGACUUUGGAGUUCAUAAAAUGGUAAACCAACACCCACAGAUGACAUGGUUCCUCAAAUAUGAAAACUUCAUCCUGGACUUCAAACUUGGAUUCUGUGCCUCCACUUUCUUCAUAAUCGACCUGUUCCUCGAGACGCCUGCGAAGGGUUUUUUAAAAGGUUUUGUUGGCUCUAGUGGCCUUUAUUUGAAAGUAGUUUGACAGGAAACAGGGUAAUCAGAGAGGGGAAAGACAUGCCAUCCUGGCAAAUGUUGCCAGGCUGGGAAUCGAACCUGCGACCACCGCCACGAGGACUAAGGCCUCAAUACGUGGGUCGUGCUUUGCCCCUUCACCACCACAGCACCCCAACUGUGAAGUGGUUCUUGUGCAUUCCCCAGAGCAGCCCUUUCAAAGCUGUGAUUAUCCAUGUUGCUUAUGCAUCUUUUUCAAAUGCACUUUUUCCUUUUGCUCAACUUUCUAUUAACAUGCUGUGAACAAAGAGCUUUUUUUUGCAAACUUUUUUUUAUUUAUUUUAAUUAGCUAAAUAAAUGCUUAAAUUACA